rnacentral:misc_RNA from 1 species
GAAGGCACUUAUUCUUGUUGGAGGAUUUGGAACUCGUUUGAGGCCAUUGACCCUCAGUGUCCCCAAGCCACUUGUUGACUUUGCAAAUAAACCCAUGAUCCUGCACCAGAUAGAAGCUCUCAAGGCUAUUGGAGUGGAAGAAGUAGUUCUGGCAAUCAACUAUCAGCCAGAAGUAAUGUUGAAUUUCUUGAAAGAAUUUGAGAAAAAGCUUGGGAUCAAGAUCACAUGCUCUCAGGAGACAGAACCACUUGGAACAGCUGGUCCUCUGGCCCUUGCAAGGGACAAACUGGUAGAUGAUUCAGGCGAGCCAUUUUUUGUCCUCAAUAGUGACGUUAUCAGUGAGUACCCACUUAAACAAAUGAUUGAAUUCCACAAGAGUCAUGGAGGAGAGGCUUCAAUCAUGGUAACCAAGGUGGAUGAGCCUUCCAAAUAU